UACGGAGGGUGCAAGCGUUAUCCGGAUUUACUGGGUUUAAAGGGUGUGUAGGCGGACUUUUAAGUCAGCGGUGAAAUCUCCGGGCUCAACCCGGAAACUGCCAUUGAUACUAUUUGUCUUGAAUGUUGUUGAGGUGGGCGGAACGGGUCAUGUAGCGGUGAAAUGCAUAGAUAUGACCCGGAACACCGAUUGCGAAGGUAGCCCACUAAGCAACGAUUGACGCUGAGGCACGAAAGCGUGGGGAUCAAACAGG
rnacentral:rRNA from 1 species